AUACGAAAGGUGCAAGCGUUGUUCGGAUUUACUGGGCGUAAAGAGAUCGUAGGUGGUUUGUUAAGUUGGAUGUGAAAUCCCGGGGCUCAACCUCGGAACUGCAUCCAAAACUGGCAGACUUGAGUUCGGGAGGGGUAAGCGGAAUUCCGUGUGUAGCAGUGAAAUGCGUAGAUAUACGGAGGAAAACCUGAGGCGAAGGCGGCUUACUGGACCGAUACUGACACUGAGGAUCGAAAGCGUGGGUAGCAAACAGGAUUAGAAACCCUUGUAGUCC
rnacentral:rRNA from 1 species